GAUGAACGCUAGCGGCAGGCCUAAUACAUGCAAGUCGAACGGUGUCUUCGGACAUAGUGGCGCACGGGUGCGUAACACGUAUGCAACCUACCUUACAUUGGGGGAUAGCCUUUCGAAAGGGAGAUUAAUACCGCAUAAGACAGUAGCUGGGCAUCCAGCAGCUGUUAAAGAUUUAUCGAUGUAAGAUGGGCAUGCGACCAAUUAGUUAGUUGGCGAGGUAAUGGCUCACCAAGACUAUGAUUGGUAGGGGAACUGAGAGGUCAAUCCCCCACACUGGCACUGAGAUACGGGCCAGACUCCUACGGGAGGCAGCAGUAGGGAAUAUUGGGCAAUGGACGCAAGUCUGACCCAGCCAUGCCGCGUGCAGGAUGAAGGCGUUAUGCGUCGUAAACUGCUUUUAUACAGGAAGAAACGACUCUUGCGAGAGGCAUUGACGGUACUGUAUGAAUAAGCACCGGCUAACUCCGUGCCAGCAGCCGCGGUAAUACGGAGGGUGCAAGCGUUGUCCGGAUUUAUUGGGUUUAAAGGGUGCGCAGGUGGUUUAUUAAGUCAGUGGUGAAAGACGGUCGCUCAACGAUUGCAGUGCCAUUGAAACUAGUAGACUUGAGUAAAGUAGAGGUGGGCGGAAUUGAUAGUGUAGCGGUGAAAUGCAUAGAUAUUAUCAAGAACUCCAAUUGCGUAGGCAGCUCACUUGGCUUUUACUGACACUCAUGCACGAAAGUGUGGGUAUCAAACAGGAUUAGAUACCCUGGUAGUCCACACUGUAAACGAUGAUAACUAGGUGUCGGCCGAAUCUGGUCGGUGCCACAGCGAAAGCGUUAAGUUAUCCACCUGGGGAGUACGCCGGCAACGGUG
rnacentral:rRNA from 1 species